UACGUAGGGUGCGAGCGUUGUCCGGAUUUAUUGGGCGUAAAGGGCUCGUAGGCGGCCUGUCGCGUCGGGAGUGAAAGCCCACUGCUUAACGGUGGGUCUGCUUCCGGUACGGGCGGGCUAGAGUAUGGCAGGGGAGACUGGAAUUCCUGGUGUAGCGGUGGAAUGCGCAGAUAUCAGGAGGAACACCGGUGGCGAAGGCGGGUCUCUGGGCCAUUACUGACGCUGAUGCGCGAAAGCGUGGGGAGCAAACAGG
rnacentral:rRNA from 1 species